rnacentral:rRNA from 1 species
CGCUGAAUGUGCCAAGGAAAUUAAAAUCAUUUAGUUCACCCUCGUCAGCCUCGAGAUGAUGCUCGUGCGGGCGGCGUUGCCUUAGUAACAGCGAACGAUCCGGGAAAAGCCCACCAAGAGAAUUGGUCCCCUCGCUAUCCAAAUUGUAGUAUGGAGAAGCCUCCUCAGUCCCCUAGAAGGGGGCGCCGGAGAGGGGGAGAGCCUCAUCAUGCUCGGACCCUAUCGCAUUAUGAGGCAUUGUCAGCGAGUCGAGUUGUUUGGGAAUGCAGCCCCAAUUAGGUGGUAAAUUUCGUCCAAGGCUAAAUACCAUUGAGAGAUUGAUAUCAAACAAGUACUACUACAGAAAGAUGAAAAGGACUUUGGAAAGACUGUUAAAUAGUGCUUGAAAAUGUUGGGAGGGAUGCAGAUGGGUGCUGGCGAUGUGCCUCAGUUGGAUGUGGAACAACAAGAAAAGGUCCGCCAAUCAACAAAGGGCAUGGACCAACACGAAUUGUGGUUGGAAGUGUGCGUCGUCUCGUUGUGCUUCACCACCCACGUGCUUCGGGUGUCGACCUGCUGGCUCCCCAUUCGACUCGUCUUGAAACAAGGACCAAGGAGUCUGACAUGUGUGCAAGUCAGCAAGCAUGUAAACCCGUAAGGUGCAAGGAAGCUAAUUGGUGGGAACCCCUUUUGGGUUGCACUGCCGACCGACCCUGAUCUUUUGUGAAGGUAUCGAGUGAGAGCAUACCUGUCGGGACCCAAAAAAAUGGUGAAAUAUGCCUGAGGAGGGCGAAGCCAGAGGAAACUUGAGUGGAGGAUCACGUUGAUCUUGAUGAGAAAAUCGUUCAUCUAACUUUGGUAUAGGAGCGAAAGACUAAUCGAAUCGUCUAGUAGUUGGUUCCCUCUGACGUUUCCCUUAGGAUAGCUGGAGCCCACAGGCGAAUACUAUCAAUUAAAGUCAAUGAGUAGAGGCAUCGAGGGUGCAACGCCCUCGACCUAUUCUCAAACUUUAAAUAUGUAGGACGAUGUGGCUGCUUUGUUGAGUCACGCAACAUAAUCAAGAGCUACAAGUGUGCCAUUUUUGUUAAUCAAAACUGGCAAUUAGGGAAUAACCGAAAGCUAGGUUACGGUGCCCAAUUGUGUAGUAACCUAGACCCCGCAAAGGUUGUUAGUUGAUUAAGUCAGAAGGACGGUGGUCAUGGAAGUCGAAAACUGCUAAGGAGUGUGUAACAACUCACCUACUGAAUCAACUAACCCCAAAAAUGGAUGGCUCUAAAGCGUGUGACCUAUACCCAAUCGUUAGGGAAAGGGCCAGGCCUUAGUGAGUAGGAGGGUGCCACUGUUGCUGCAAAACCUAGGGCAUGAGCCCGAGCGAAGCGGUCGUCAGUGCAAAUCUUGGUGUUCGUAGCAAAUAUUCAAAUCAGAACUUUGAAGGGUGAAGACGGGAAAAGUUACAUGUGAACGCCACUCGCACAUGGGUUAGUCAAUCCUAAGGGAUGGGCGAAGUCUGUUUGAUAACAUUCCCAGCACGCACUCCAAAAGGGAAUUAGGUUAAAAUUCCUAAAUCAGGGUGUGGCGGCUGACAAUAACGUUAGAGAGUCUAUAGAUGUCAGCAGGGGCCCCAGAAAGACUUAUCUUGUCUAUUUAACAACCUGCCCAUCUUGGAAAUGACUCAGGCAGAGGUAUGUCUAGUGACUAGCAAAGCACCGCACGUCGCAUGGUGUCCUUGAGAAUCCAGAUGACCGGGUGCCUCCCACGCCCUGUCAUACUCAUAACCGCAUCAAGUCUCCAAGGUGAACAACCUCUAGUCGAUGAAACAAUGUAGGCAAGGAAAGUCGGCAAAAUGGAUCUGUAACCUCAGGAAAUGGAUUGGCUCUAAGGGCUAGGAACGGGGGUCCCAGUCCUAAACCUGUCGGUUGUCGGUGGACUGCUCGAGCUGCUCUCGUGGCAAGAGCGGGUCGUUGUGUGAUGGUCAGGGGACGGAUUGGGAAUGGGCCCUUCGGGGUCUCUUCCCCGAGCGUCAAACAGUCGACUCAAAACAAGUUCGGACAAGGGGAAUCUGACUUUUUAUUUAAAACAAAGCAUUGUGAUGGUCCCUGCAGGAUUUUGACACUAUGUGAUUUCUACCUGGUGCUUUGAAUGUCAAAGUGAGGAAAUUCAAUCAAGCGUGGGUAAACGACGAGAGUAACUAUGUGUGUCUUUAGUUAGCCAAAUGCCUCGUCCUCUAAUUAGUGACGCGCAUGAAUAGAUUAACGAGAUUCUCAUUGGAUUAUGACUCUCUUAAGUUAGCCAAAUGCCUCAUCGCGCUUGGUCGAAAAGCCAGUGGCUCCAAGCUACCAUGCGUUGGAUUAUGACUGAACAUCUCUAAGUCAGAAUCCGAGCAAGAAGUGAUGUAUGUGCUCGUCACCCGUUUUCUGACAAGCAGUAGGGGGCCUCCCCCCCCCCCCCAGAGGUACGUGCCAUUGGUGAGCCCCGCAGGGUGGACGAGCCUCGCGAGACGCAUGGAAUCACUAUUCCCCACUAGGCGGUAGGUAAAAUCCUUUACAAACAACUUAAAUUGUAAGUGGCAGAGUGACCUUGUUACACUGAUCCAUUGAGAUUCAGCCCUUCUCGCUUUGAUUUGUCCCUCCCAUCUCUGUUGAAAGAUUUUUAUUUGAGGUUUUUCCCAUCAACAAAUUGUACCCAUCAGCGGCGCCAAUUUGUUGACAACGAGAGUUUCCUCUUUGGUGUGUUUUCUUUAUUUGGUUAAGUAAGUGAACUCAGUUUUAUUCUUUAUUCUCUAUCUCGGCUUUGUUGAAAUAAAUUCCAACGCCGGUAUAAUGGUUUCAAGAAUAUUCCAGUUACAACUUACUUCUAGUAAUCAUGUGAAUAAGUUAUUCCUUCUUUGCCCCAUCUCGGCUUUGUUAGAAUAAAUUCUAACGCCAGUACAAUGGUAUCGAAGCAAUUUCCUAUUACAUAAUUAUUAAGUACCUUUGAAUACCAUCUCGGUUUUGU